rnacentral:rRNA from 1 species
UACAGAGGGGGCAAGCGUUAUUCGGAAUUAUUGGGCGUAAAGGGCGCGUAGGCGGCUUUGCAAGUGACGGGUAAAAGCCCUCGGCUUAACCGAGGAACUGCCUGUCAGACUGUAAGGCUUGAGACCGGGAGAGGUGAGUGGAAUUCCCAGUGUAGCGGUGAAAUGCGUAGAUAUCGUAAGGAAGACCAGUGGCGAAGGCGGGUCUCUGGACAGUUCCUGACGCUGAGGCACGAAGGCCAGGGGAGCAAACGGG